UGCAUCAGGGGCUUGUGUCGACGUCACUGGUUUUUCUCUCCGCUUUCCCUUCCUUCCCCUUCUCGUUUUUGUGUGUUCCACGAGAGGAUCUCUCUCUUUCGGUUUUUCCCUCUCUCGACGCCGCCCACUUCACCCACCGCCGCCUCGUCGGCUUUCUUCGCCUCAUUCCAUCGCCUGGUCCUCUUUUUUUCUGCACAUUUUUUUUUUUCAAAAGAAAGGUUACCGCGCAUUUUUUUGGGGGGACCAAAAGAGUAUCACCAUGGCGAGCACCGAGGACAAACCGGCCACCAAGGAGAACACGUCCAGCUGGAAGGACUCCUUCUACAACCCGAGGACCGGGGAAGUGAUGGGUCGCACGGCCAGCAGCUGGGCCCUCAUCCUGUUGUUCUACCUGGUGUUCUACUGUUUCUUGGCUGGCAUGUUCGCCCUGACCAUGUGGGUGCUGCUGAUCAGUCUGGAUGACUAUGUGCCGAAGUACCAAGACCGCGUUCCCCAUCCAGGGUUGGUGAUUCGUCCCAAUUCUCUGGAUAUGUCAUUCAACAAAUCUGACCCCCUGAAGUAUGUACAGUAUGUCAAGCACCUGGAGUCUUUCCUGCAAAGAUAUAAUGAUUCACAGCAGGACAAUAACGAGGACUGCCCCAGAGGAGAGUAUUUUCUGCAGGACGACACCGAGGACAUGAAUAAGAAAGCUUGCCUCUUUAAGAGGGGCUUCCUGAGUCUCUGCUCUGGUCUCUCUGACACCAACUUUGGAUAUUCUGAGGGGAAACCCUGUGUGCUGCUGAAAAUGAACAGGAUAAUUGGCCUGAAGCCUCGUGGGGAUCCCUACAUCAACUGCACUGUCAAAGUAAACACUUUUUUUACACACUAUAUUCUACAUGUUGUAGUUGCUUUUAUGUCUUUUUUUUCAUUUCGUUCAUAUAAAAAAAAAAAACAUUUAAAAAAAAUCCCUGAUGACCAUAACAGUGUCAAUAUUUUUCUUUCUGUUGAUCUUUCAUUUUGUCCUUCUUUUUGUUUUUUUGUGUCCGAUUUCUUUCUGCAUGCUGUCACUGACGGCUUUAGGGUAAGAUAUGUAAAUUGUCAGGAUAAGGCCAGUAGAGGUGUUAACACAUUUUUAUGAUGUAACAAGUCAUUAUGCAGGGGCCUCUAAACCCAUCCUAGUGCCCUUUUCAAGUCAUUUUAAUCUUAUAGGCGCAACUUUCAGCCACAAAUGUCCUUAACGCAGAACACUACAUGUUUUCAUUUCAAUCUCCUCACUAACAAACAGAGGGCCAUUGCUUUUCCUUUUUUUCCAAGUCCUGUCUCGUGAUCUUGGAAAAAUGUCUCAUGUGCUAUUCAUUUCCCAUAAUGAGCUGCAUUUCAUUUAAUGUAUACUUUGCAUUGACUAACACGUGUUCUUCUGUGUAGAAAGAGGGCCCGAUUCAAAUGCAGUAUUUCCCCAGUGAGGGGCGCAUUGAUAAGAUGUAUUUCCCCUACUACGGCAAGAAAGCCCAUGAGAACUACGUCCAGCCCCUUGUGGCUGUGAAGCUGCUGCUCACCAAGGACGACUACAACAAGGAGCUGCCGGUGGAGUGCAGGGUAGAGGGCACCGACCUCCGCAACAACGACGAAAGGGAUAAGUUCCUGGGUCGUGUUACCUUCAGGAUCAAGGUGGUCGAGUAGAAGAGAAGACAGCUGUUCGGAGGAAAACCAGAUGCAGAAGCUGCCACGUUUGCUAAGGGUUUAUGUUCAACAUUUUAAGAAAGAAGGAAGUGUUAGAUAUGUCACAAAGACAACAUUUUGGGAUGUGGCCAAACAGUUAGAUGUAGAUAGGAGAGCCGGUUAGAUAUUGAAUGUUGCUAUGCUGACAUUUGUGACCCUUCUUUCCUUCACGAUCUCCUCAAAGAUCAAAGAUGCAGGUUCUGCUCCUGACCCCAUUCAUCCGUUCUUUCAUUCACCAGUUGCACUGUUCAUCCUUCACUCAGUUUAUUAUUAUCAUUGUUAUUAUUUUUUUAGUAUUGAUGUGAUUAGAAAACGUUUAGCCACUGCAACCGAGCUGUUGUGUAAUUGCUGAUACAACUUAUUUUUUAUGUUUUAUAGAUCUUUCUGCUGUCAGGAAGAGAGUGUUGUUUUCAUCUCUCCAAACUGUGUGUACGGCUGCAUUAUUGCUGGUGUUGAGAGGAUUUGUAUCUUGUUGUAUAUUAUAAUUGAGAAAGUAGAACAUUUCCAACACACAUCUCCAGAGUAUUUCACAUAUCACAUCACAAAGACUUCAUAGGAACGUACCUUGAUAAUCAAGUAUAGCCACUGUAUCCCUGUAUAUGAAAUGCCAAUUACAAAGUCCCUUUCUACAUAUAAAUACAUUGUGAUCUUUAUCAUAUUUAGGGAAUUAUAGAUAGAUCUCGGUGUUGUGGUCUGCGUAGCCACAACCCAGUCUUGUGCUGUCUGUCUGCAUGUCUGUCUGUCUGUCUUCCCAUCUUCCUGUUUACUCACCUCUUCACUGCAAUAGCCAACAUGUGGGUGAGCCCUCCAGGACUAGAUACGUUGUCCAGCUCCACCUCGCGAGUUGCUGCGUACUGAUGGUGGCUGAGGCGACACACACACACAAGAAGGUACAGUUUAAAAAAUAUAAAAUAUAAGUCGCUGGGAAAGCAUUGCAAAAAUAAAAAGUUCACUGUAACUAUGUACUGUAUAUCUUUAUGUGAUCUGUAUAUCUAUCUGGGUCACAAAGAUUGUUUGUUAGUUUUCUCUCUUCUUCGACCUUUUGAUCUGAUUGUCUGCCAAUCUAUUACUCUUCAAUGUAUAUAUACACUAUCUACCAUAUUUACUUCACACCGUAUUUUUGUCACAAAACACAAUGUCUGUGCACUGUAAAAAAAUAAUUUAAGCAAAGAUUUACAGGAAAUUAUUAUUAUUCAAAGCUAUGUUUACACAGUCUUAAAAGGAACCCGCAUUUGAAAAACCAACUUGUAACAUCUCUUCAGGGUGCCUUAAGACCUGAUGAAAUAAAUUGUGGAAUAAAAGUGAUUU